rnacentral:rRNA from 1 species
ACGCUCGACACCUACGGGAGGCAGCAGUGGGGAAUAUUGCACAAUGGGGGGAACCCUGAUGCAGCGACGCCGCGUGAGUGAAGAAGUACUUCGGUAUGUAAAGCUCUAUCAGCAGGGAAGAAAAUGACGGUACCUGACUAAGAAGCCCCGGCUAACUACGUGCUAGCAGCCGCGGUAAUCUGAGCGGGCUGGCAAGGC